rnacentral:lncRNA from 1 species
CAAACCCUACCUACUCCCCUCCUUCAUAAUUCACAGAUAUCUCCUCUAAUAAAUCUCUUUCAGACUUAAUGCCAUAUUGCCAUCUGUUUUGUAGAGAACCUAGAUUAACAUGGAUAACUUUUUAAAAACAACCUACAGUUUUUCAGAAAAUGUCAUACAAUGCUUGUUUUUUUUUUUAGUAUAAUCAUAGUUUAAACACUUUUAUAUCGCUUGAGGGAUUUCUGGGAAUUUAUAUGUUGAUUUUUAUGUACAAGGCUCAUGCCAUGGAGUGUUGUACAAGGCUCAUGCCAUGGAGUGUUGUACAUAAUGAGUGUUUGGUUAGAUUGAAUUAUGUCUACUAGGUCCCAGUUGCUGAGAUCUACAAUGUGUCAAAAUAUAUAUAUUACCUAUUAUUAAACUUGUAAGAGCAAGCAUAAAGCCACAUUCUGCUAGUAAAUAACAAAUGUUCAUUGGAUAGUUUGCAGUGAGAAAACUUUGUCAUAGCAAUUGUUAAUGAUAGUAUAUUAGUAAUUUGAUAAUUUCAGAACAGGACAGUAAUUUUUCUAAAUAAAAGAUAAGAAUGGCAGUGA